CAACUCAAACGAGGGGACAGUGUUGUGCUACCACGUGUCUAAUUCAAUUCCUGUCUGGUCGGGUGGCCCCAAGAUGAGGGAGAGAGACAGGCUGUCUGUGGUCUGAGUGUCCUUUGCUUGUUGGCAGGCAGACCUCUGGACCCAGAAACACCUGGCUUGAAUACUGGAGGUAUAGAUUUCUAGAAUCAGCAUGGCGGGGGGGUUGUCUCCUGGGAAGCUGGGCUUCAGGUCAUGAAUGGGGUGUGUCCGUGCGGUUGUAUUUGGGGGCGGGGGUGGACUAUGCUCAUGGCGGGCUCUGUCCAUCAGAAGGAGCCAGAGUAACUGGAGAGCCCCUCCCCACCAACACCUCUCCCCCCUUGUAGCACUGUGGCUGCGUCGCCAGGCUCAGACACGGGGUGCAAAAUGAUUGGUGGCCCAAUGUGCCUCAACUCAGAGAUGAUCCAGAUUCCACCAUCACGUCUUGGGUUCAUUCUCUGCAUGAGCGGGUAGCCCAAUGGCUAGAGAGUUUGAUAGGCGGCCUGGGGCCUGCGUGCCCUUUGCUUGUUUGAAGUACAACACUGGACCCAGAAAUCCCUGGCUUCGAUAUUGGGUAUGCAGUGGUUUAGCAUCAGGCUGGUGUGAUAAUUUGGCUUUAGGAGAUCUGGGCUUUGGGUCAUGAAUAUAACACAUCAGGCCACGGGUAUUGUGGGAGUGGGUCUCAGCCUCUCCCUGUGCCUUUCUCUCUAGAUAUCGCCACCUCCUCCUUCCUCCUGCUCCACCUGAGCCUCUGCUUCCUCUGCGGAGAACCUUGUGCCCAGGAAUCCACCUAAAUCCAGAUAUCGCCACCUCCUCCUUCCUCCUGCUCCACCUGAGCCUCUGCUUCCUCUGCGGAGAACCUUGUGCCCAGGAAUCCACCUAAAUCCAGAUAUCGCCACCUCCUCCUUCCUCCUGCUCCACCUGAGCCUCUGCUUCCUCUGCGGAGAACCUUGUGCCCAGGAAUCCACCUAAAUCCAGGUAAAGUGAAUGAUGCCAGGGAGGUCGUGGAUCUCAAGCGAGGUGCCAGGGCUGAGGGUGCUGAUUGCUGGCAACUGGCCUCUGUUACCUUACCAAGCGGGGUGUCUGAUUCAGGGAGCGGGGUGGUCUCAUGUGGGGUGAGUGUCCUGGCCGACUUUGAGAUAGUCCUAAUGCCACCCAUCUGGCAUUUCAGUGUGCUGCAAGGGAGAGGAGUAAGGAAAUUGGGCUGGCAAGUGGCCCAGGCCAGUGCAGACCAGGCUUCUGCUAUGAGAGGCGGAGGAAGGGCUGAGAGUUGCUAUUAGAGCACAUGCCCACCAGCGGGCACCA
rnacentral:lncRNA from 1 species